UUCCUCAGUGAGAAUUUAUUCUGGAAAGUGUAGAAAGGAUGAUACAACAGUGCUUUAUGAUCAAACUAUUUCAUAAAAGUUAAAGUGAUCAUAACACCGUAAGUCCAGAUUUCUUUCCAUCUUUAUUUUUCAAACCAAAACAAAUUGGUAACAUUCAACACAAGUGCAUACACUGCUGGUAGGAGAUCACCUCCAAUUUCACUUUGGAUGGUAUAGCACCGUUCUUAGCUAUUUAGCAGCUUAUCAGACGCAUGUAGUGACCAUGUUUGUUAAUAUGAAAAAUUCAGAAGAAUGAAAAGAUCUCCUCAUUUGGCUCUCUAGCUAGCACAAGAUCUACCUCUGUGUCCUCCAAGGCAUUUGAUCAAAUUGACAUUUAUUUUAUAGCAUUUGCCAGUAUAUUUCAUAUUACAGCUGAAUGUUAAGCUUUUACAAGAAUACAGAAGCAGCAUCUUUUUUAAAAAUUUAUUCACAGAUAUAAACCAGCACAGCAGUAACUUUAAUGCACUGGCACCUUUUUUUGAUCUCAACAUCACAGUAGCUGGAAAGCUAUAGGUGAUGGGCGGACCGGUCAUAUCAAUGCAUUGGGACAGACUUAGUAAGGCAACGUUCGCGUGACAGGCUUCUCUUAUGAUUGGGUUUGUAGAUUCAGCCAGGGCAGUAUUGAUUUUGACAGAGCUCUGUCAAUAUCUUUAUUCUGGGGCAGUGUGAUUUUAGCAUUGCUGUCUGCUAGUGCAUUGUAUUGUCUCUUGCGUGUAGCUCAGGGUUUCUCAAACGCAGUCCUCAGGACCCCAAGGGGUGCACGUUUAGGUUUUUUGCCCGAACACUACACAGCUGAUUCAAAUAAUCAACUAAUCAUCAAGCUUAGAUCAUUUGAAUCAGCUGUGUAGUGUUUGGGCAAAAAAAUAAAUGUGCUCCCAAGGACCAAGUUUGGGAAACUCUGCUGUAGCUGAACUGUUGAGUGAUCACCAACAUUUAUACAGAGAUAAAUAAAACUAGAGGCUCAAUUAUUUCUGGACUUACAGUGACUAUAGAAGAAGAGUAAGUAAAAUUGAAAAACCAAUUAACAGAGGAAAGUAAAAUUCAAGGCAGUGCUGAAGUACUGGUUGCUAAAAAAAAAAAUUACAAAUAUCAAAGCCAACAAUAACAUCUCCUAGACACUGCUCAUUUUGUCCAGUCAACAAAACCCCUCUUUAGUGCAGUUUCAAUCAUAUACAUCUCCCUUUCCCUAAACAGUAUCUCUUUAUCUCGCUCCCAUCUUCCCUCAUUCAAGUCAGUUGUCCAGUCAGUGUUAGUCUUCUCUCUGUCUCAUCCGGCUUGAACAUCACAGGACUCAAAAGGUGAGAAGUUCUUUCUUUAGAGGAUGGCAGGAAGUGAUGGGGGUAUUCACAGUUACAGUCCAACGGUCCAGCUACAAUCACAUCUGCUGUCAUAAUGAACACACCAGACCAUGGCCAUCUGUAAAGCCAGCCAGCCAACCCAUCCUUUACCCCCGGUAGGUUUGGGCCACUCCGUCACACUUCAAGCAGCUCUAUUAUCAGACGGUCCCUGAAAACACACACAGGACUCACAUUAGUACAAUACUGUUCUGAUGAAAAUACAUUUUCCAUGAAUAAAUGUUAUAUAUGUAUUUUUUGAAUAAGCACUGUUAAAAGAUAUAGAAGUUAGUCUCUGAUUUCCUCGUA
ensembl:lncRNA